rnacentral:rRNA from 1 species
CAGCCGCCGCGGUAAUACGUAGGUGGCAAGCGUUGUCCGGAAUUAUUGGGCGUAAAGGGCUCGCAGGCGGUUUCUUAAGUCUGAUGUGAAAGCCCCCGGCUCAACCGGGGAGGGUCAUUGGAAACUGGGAAACUCGAGUGCAGAAGAGGAGAGUGGAAUUCCACGUGUAGCGGUGAAAUGCGUAGAGAUGUGGAGGAACACCAGUGGCGAAGGCGACUCUCUGGUCUGUAACUGACGCUGAGGAGCGAAAGCGUGGGGAGCGAACAGGAUUAGAGACCCCUGUAGUCCCUGUCUCUUAUAC